rnacentral:rRNA from 1 species
AGUGAACGCUGGCGGUAGGCCUAACACAUGCAAGUCGAACGGCAGCACAGUAAGAGCUUGCUCUUACGGGUGGCGAGUGGCGGACGGGUGAGGAAUACAUCGGCAUCUACUUUUUCGUGGGGGAUAACGUAGGGAAACUUACGCUAAUACCGCAUACGACCUACGGGUGAAAGCAGGGGAUCUUCGGACCUUGCGCGAUUGAAUAAGCCGAUGUCGGAUUAGCUAGUUGGCGGGGUAAAGGCCCACCAAGGCGACGAUCCGUAGCUGGUCUGAGAGGAUGAUCAGCCACACUGGAACUGAGACACGGUCCAGACUCCUACGGGAGGCAGCAGUGGGGAAUAUUGGACAAUGGGCGCAAGCCUGAUCCAGCCAUACCGCGUGGGUGAAGAAGGCCUUCGGGUUGUAAAGCCCUUUUGUUGGGAAAGAAAAGCAGCAGGUUAAUACCCCGCUGUUCUGACGGUACCCAAAGAAUAAGCACCGGCUAACUUCGUG